ACAGGAAGAAACUAGGAGAACCAGGGAAACUACAGGAAGAAACUAGGAGAACCAGGGAAAAUACAGCCAGGAA